AAGAAUUCAAUUGAAUUCUUACACAAUUAAAAUUUAUUCCAAAUAAUGCCUAUGUGAACUUGGACCUCAAACAUUUAAAAUACUUGCAACACCAGGAAAAGUACUGCAACUUAAAGGCAUCCCCUCCUAGUUUUAAUCCCCAUCAAAAGCAAUUAUGCAAAGAAUUUCCAAAUCAUGAGACUGGCCAAAGGAAAAUGUUAGCCUCAGAAACAUAGAUUCAGCCCUGAAAAACUCUCUUCACAAAUCCUUGCAAAGAAUUCCCCAUUCCAGCACCAACAGCUUCAGCCAAGUACUGUGCCUCUUGAAUUGUCUUCUUGAAAUCAAAGGCAUCUUUCACUCGAUCAUCCAAGAAAGACCAUGUAUCACGAAAAUCUGGGGAACUAUCGGUCAGCAUGUAAAUCUCAGUUGUUGAGUAUAUCCCUCCCACAACAGUGCGCUUUACAUACCAAUUGAUAUCAGAGCCCUCAUCACCAGCAGUGUGCCAGAUCUCAUCAAGCAGUAUUGCACGCUGCUUAAAACUUUUUGGAAUAUUUGAUGGGUGUGCUUGGAUGCUCAAUGCUUGGGGCCAUUUUGAUAUGUAGGGAGCUUGCAUUUCUAGGCGAAUCCUAACAAGCUUUGAGAUGCGCUCACUAGGUGCCAAGUUUUGUAACUCCUCGCCAGAGUCAAUUCGAUCAAUAAGCUUUUG
rnacentral:misc_RNA from 1 species